UACGUAGGGUGCAAGCGUUGUCCGGAAUUAUUGGGCGUAAAGAGCUCGUAGGCGGUUCGUCGCGUCGGCUGUGAAAACCCGGAGCUCAACUCCGGGCCUGCAGUCGAUACGGGCGGACUAGAGUUCGGCAGGGGAGACUGGAAUUCCUGGUGUAGCGGUGAAAUGCGCAGAUAUCGGGAGGAACACCAGUGGCGAAGGCGGCGACCUGGGCCAAUAUUGACGCUGAGGUGCGAAAGCGUGGGGAGCAAACAGG
rnacentral:rRNA from 1 species